CAUGACAAGUCAACUCUUCAAGAGCCCAAAUAAACAGCAAAGAGGACAAAGGAAAACCUUCUCUUGUCCCCUUCUAGAUAUCACUUAGAUCACCAUUAAUCAUAAUUGGUCCCCUCAAGCUAGCUUCUGGGUGGAUGUGGGCUAUACUGUAGGCACUGCAACCAUCACCCCUGUGGACCUCAUGGCCCACUCUUUAUUUAACAAAACAAGACACUUCAAAAUAUAGAGGAUUUUAGUGUCUUACAUGAAUAGGGAAAGACAACACAGAGAGUGUCAAGGGAAAAAAAAAACUUUAAAUCCCUCCUUUAACUUUAUUUAACUUUCUCCCUAUUUACUCAAUGAUACAAGAUAUCGCUUUCCUGUCUUUUAGUCACCUCUCAUCCAAAAUCUGAUAUUUCUGAUCUGUUCUAUUUCUAGAACAGAUGGGAAAUGGAAUUUCACUUCAGAUACUUCAGGAAUUUUAAAAUCAGCUCAGAUAUAAGAUGUAUAAACAAAGAUUUAAAAUAAAAGAAAAUCACAAAGAGGCCCUAGUCUUAACUUGAGGGUUCAAGGGACUGAUUGCCUCCAUAGCUAUGGAUGACCUUGCCCAAGAGACUUUGGAGGAGAGACCAUCUUGAAGGACAGCAAAAGUUCCCUGGUUGUUGAUAUAUCUUCAUCUAUUUUCUGGAUGAGUCCUGACAGGAAGGAUAACCACUAGAGAACAGGGCCUCCAAGGGUGUAUCUGUGUAGGUCAGUGGGUCAAGGGUCACGGUAUCAGGCUGUAGUAGCACACUGCCGGCUGGUGAUCUGUGGGUCUUUCCUGCUUACUGCAUUACUUCAUUAUUGGCUCGGAUGUGGAUGAUCUAAUAUAAGCUCACCUAGAGAAAAUGGCAACUUGAGAGGGGGGUGAAUAACUUCUAUCCAAUCAGAAUACUGUUACUGUGCUACCUUUUAUCUGCUUGUGUAAAACUGUAUAAAAAAUAAAGUUCUCUACGAAGUUGGGAGAGACAUCUUAGAGACAUCUUAGAGACAUCUUGGGAGACAUCAUGAAACAGAGCAAAAGCCUGGACCUCUGAUUUACAACAUCUGGCGCCCGAAGCAGGGACACCCUCCAUGGGGAGCAGCAUCCUUAACAUCCUUAUCAUCGUCUGGAAUAGACCCCUGACGUGCCUUUCAUCCUUCGGGAUCCCUAGUGACUUCCCAGCAAGUCUCCGGGAAGCUUAGACUGAAGUGCCCGCUGAGUUUGGAGCACCGGGAUGAAACCUAUCCAUGGAGCUAUUAUAGACAAGGAGACCAUCUGAUUGGUGUAGUCCUCUGUGCCACGAGAAUAUUGCGUGAAAUGUUGUCUUUCAACAUGGCUCCAAAUAAAAAGUCUCACUCGUAAGUCA